rnacentral:rRNA from 1 species
UACAGCUAUAACACCCUGAAUGCACCCGAUCUUGUCUGAUCUCAGAAGCUAAGCAGAAUCGGGCCUGGUUAGUACUUGGAUGGGAGAAAUAAAUAAAAAUAACCCAUUUCAGAAAAACCAAGAUGGCAGCAU